UUGAAUUAAAACUGAAGUCCUGUCUUUAUCCACAGAACAGAUAUAAGCACAGGCAUCAGCAUAUACUUCCUCAGGUCUGAGCAGUGUACCUCAGACUUUGUUCUGAAGAGAUCACCUCUGAGCAACAAGGAUAAUUCAGUCAUGUCCAUUCAGUCCUUUAACUGU
rnacentral:sRNA from 1 species